ensembl:lncRNA
GCCCCUCCUAGGCCCAGGCCCCGCCCCUGCCCCGCCCUUCCAGUCGCAGUGGCCUGGCCGCGGCGGCUCCGGAGGUUUCAGCCCAGGUGAAAACGAACUUGGACCUGGCCUGGGGCUCCGAGGAGGGUCCAUGCGGGCUGGGCGCCGCCGGACAGCCCCGGCUCGACCCUCCCUACCCCGCUCCCAUCUGCAGCCCCGGGCGGCCAACAGGCAAAGCCAGGACUUGUCCCGGACGUUGCUGGAGAGAUGCGGGCGAGCGUCCGCCAACAUUUUACGGAUGAAGAGGACUCAGGCCGCGGUCCCCCCGGAAACAGCUGGUAAGAAGGGAGGCGGACGAGCAAGCCCGGUGGUCCAUCGGCGCCGCCCAGAUGGCAUCUUCCAGACAACAUCGAUGGUAGCCUGGGAGUGCCUUCUACAGAGCACGCACCCUUACCUCCUGGUGUGGGAGGCGAAGAGUGUUUCCGAUUCUGUUCCUCUCCAGGGCACUGCUGGAGCCGGGACUGAUCGCUGGGACCUGUCUAGGCUCUCCGGAGCGCUGUGGGUCUGGGCUCCUAAGACUAUGCGGGACAUUGGACCCUGCAUCCUGGGACCCUCCCCAUGCACGCCACAGAGCCAGGCAUACCAAUCCGGCUGCCACCAGGGAUCAAACUGGGGCUCCGUGGGAGGGUUUGGAGGAGACUGGCCUCAAGAUCAAGGAUGGCGAUGGUGCUGUCUGCCCUGCCUGAACAUUCAUGCAGGUCCUGGCCAGCAUCCGCAGCACAGACCCAGCUCACUCCUUUUCAUAGAAGAGACAGAGGUUCACUGCCUGGUCUCUGUGCAAGUGAGAGGCAGGCACAUCCCUGCCUGUCCCCCGUCCUAUGCUCCUCACACACUCUCAGGUCUUCCCCAUCUUCUCACUGGCAAUCACACCGAAAGGUCAGAAGAAGCUUGGCAACUAAGGUGCAUCCGUAGUUUCAGCACACCAGGAAGCUUCUGCACAGGCUAGCAAGAAGCUGAGCAGAGACAGACAGGCACUGUAUGGUUGUCACUUACAUGUGGGAAGCAAGAGUGGAAACACAGUGAAGGACAGGGAAGCCUGGUGUGCUGCAGCCCGUGGGGUCGCAAAGAGUCGGGCACGACUGGGCAACUGAACCACAGCAGUGGUAAAGAGAUGAGGUUCACCAGAGGAAGCGGAGGGGUGGGAGCGCAGGAGGGCGAUCACAAGGCACAGACUUCUAGGUAAGGGUAAAUCACUAGGGAUGCUCUGCUGCCAUUGUUCAGUCACUAAGUCAUGUCUGAUUCUCUGUGACCCCAUGACCUGCAGCACCCCAGGCUUCCCUGUCCUUCACUGUCUCCCGGAGUCUGCUCAAUCUCAUGUCCAUUGAGUCGGUGACGUAACAUACAGCAUGAUAAACAUAACUAACUCUGCUGUGUGUUACCUGUGGAAGUCAUUAAGGGCCUAGAACCUAAGAGCUCUCAUCACAGAAAACAUUUUUUUCCCCUGUUGCUCUUGCUUUUAUUGAAUCCACACGAGAUGCGCACUAAGCUUGCCGCUUUACAACACGUGUAAGUCAGACCAUUCUGUUGUGCAUCUUACGCAAUGGCAUGUGGCAGUUAUGCCUCAGUGAAACUGGAGAAAAAUAAAGAAGCUGGAGAGCAGUCAGGAUGCCGUCUUACAGCCUGAAUCAUUCAUGUCGCUUCUCCGAACACUGAGCGGCUCCCGCCUCCCACUGUCUGCAGUGCCCUGCAGGCUUGGCCUCCAACCUGACCCCGAUCUUCGCUGCCCUCCUCUCACCCUUGCUGACAUCACUGCAGCUGCACUGGCCCCUGUGGCUCCACAGGCUUUACAGGCACGAUCCCACCUCAGGGCCCUCACAUUUGCUCCUCUGCUGCCUGUGUAAGCACGGCCCCAUGGCUCCACCACCCCCUCUGGGAUUUUAUUCAAAUGUUACCUUCCUUGGUGGUGACUCAGAAAGUAAAGAAUCUGCCUGCAAUGCAGGAGACCUGGGUUUGAUCCCUGGAUCAGGAAGAUCCCCUGGAGGAGGGCAUGGCAACCCACUCCAGAGGUCUUGCCUGGAGAAUCCCAUGGACGCAGGAGCCUGGCGGGCACAGUCCAUGGGGUCACAAACAGUCGGAUAAAAAUAAGGGACUAACACUACCUUCUCAGGGAGCCCUGCCUUGACCACCCAGUCUCAAAUGUUCACACUCCCCUGAUGUUUCCUCUUUCUCUAUUCUGUUGAACUUUUCUUCCUGGUGCUUCUUCCCUGCUAACCUAUUAUAUAUUUUGCAUUUUGUUUCAUUUGCUUUUUGUCUCCUCCAAAGAAUGUAUGUUCCACCAAAGCAGUGAUCUCUGUCCCUUCUGUCCCUUCAUAUCUCCAGCACCAAGCACUCAGUAAGUGCUCCAUUGUGGAAUUAAUGAGUUUCUGAAAGACGUAAACGUGGUCAGCUUGGGAGAAACUAAACAGCACUCAGGAAUCGCUGCCAAACAGGUUAAGGAGUUGGUCACUGGGGAGUUAGAGACCCAGACCACCCCUGGCCAGUUUCCGCGGGGCUGCUCAGUAAAUGUGCCCCUACCUGGCUCAUUCUUUGCAGGUAUCAGCAGCCCCUCAAGUCCCAUGUCAGCCUUGCCUCGCACUGCAGGCUGGGUCAGGCUCGCAUGCCUGUUCUUCGCGGCCCAGGGCCUGAAAUGCGAGGGCUCCGACGGUGUGUGUGUGGACGGAAUGAGUGAACGAGUGAGGACCCUGGCAGCCCAGGCUCUCUGAAGGCAGGAAGUGUACAAGUCUUGGUUUCGCAACAUCCCCCUGCCUGGAAGGGCCUUGAUGAGUGUCUGACAGAUGGGUGGCUGAGCUUUCUGAGGGGCUGGGCCAUUUCUUAGUUGCCCCAGGAAGCCCACAGUACCCAGCUUGGGGCGGGGGGAGUGUGUCCAGUAGAACUUUCCACGAUGGAGAGCGCCGCCCACUGAGGUACCGCGCGUGGCAGUGCCCCAGACAGUCUGGUGGGACGGAAAGAAGGGCAGAGAGGACGAGGCCGGAUGAGGCCGGGGGGGAUGGCAGCGGCCCGUGAGACACGCUCUGUGACACAGGCCGGCUGCGACGAGACAAGCUGUGGGGGAGCCAGGGAGAGCUCCCGAAGAUGGCGAGCGGCAUCAUCUUCACGGAACCCGGGCGAGGCUGAUCUGAGAGUGGACAUACCUGGGAACCACAUCGAAGGGCAGACGGAGAGUGUACGAGUCCACUCUGAGCUCAGUGUCCCCGGGGCAAGAGUCGGGUUCACGAUCAGAAACAGGAAGAGGGAAGCCACCGCCCGGGCGCUCCUCGGGGAGGGCUGUUGGUGGGGUGACUAGUUAAUGAGUCACUCCUGCCCAGCUGAAGUCCCAGGGUCAGCAUGUGCACUGCGCGCCGGCCGGAGCCUUGCCUCCCAUCCCCGCUCCCGGGUCCUGGCCAUCACCUUUCUGAGCAAACCUCAAGGAAGCAAGAGUUGGGAACUGACCGCCACAGGGUGCUUCCCACUGAGGGGGCACCCUGCAAGAGCCCUGGGCUGAUGUGAAGACCCCGAGGUCGACACCCCCACCAGGGUCAGGCGGGAUUCCUCCUUACUUCAAAACAGUGAGGGGAGCACGGGCUCAGCUGAAAGCCAGACAUGAACAGAGCAUGCAAGCAGCAUGUCUGUGCCAAAGUCAGUGUCUAACUGACCCCGGAGACGCAAAUACCCUUUCAUCCAAUUCAUCAGAAUAUUUUAGAGUGAUUCUACUGUCGAAAAGAGGGGAGGUCGGGGCCUUCCCAGGAGGCAACCUUGAACUCUGCACAGCACUCCUGAGCCAGCACAUGUCCUCCUAGAGCCUGAGCAUCAAGAAACGACCAGAUUCACAGUCGGACUUACGAACAGACUUCUUCUCAAUAUUACUGACACUUCAGAAAAAUUGGAAACCAACUAAACUCCAACAAAAGGAAAAAAUGAUAAUGAAGCGUCUGUACAGCAGAAUACCAUUUGUCUAUUUCACUCAGGAUUUUAAAAGACUUGUUGCUCACUCACUAAGUCAUGUCCAACUCUGCCACCCCUUGGACUACAGCCCCCCAGUCUUCCUUGUCCUUCAUUAUCUCCUGGAAUUUGCUCAAACUCACGUCCAAUUUUCUAGAAUGAAUUUAUAUUACUUCUAUAACCAGAAGAAAAAUACGGUUCUGCUAUAGGAUAAUGGCUAAAAAUUCCUCCAGUUUUUAAACAAAAGUAGAAAUCACAUUGUUUUCAUUUUCGCCAAGGACUUUAUUGAAUAAUAUUCACCAUGUUGUCCCACUGCCUUCUGCCAUUUUUCAGGCAGCUUCAUAAUUCCAUCCUCCUAAAACUUUUUAUCUUUUGAGCAAAGAACUGUUCCAGGUGCCUCUUACAAUCUUCCAGGGAAUUGAAAUCUUUUUCCACUAAGAGAAUUUUGUAAAGAUGGAAUAGAUGGACAUCCGAAGGUGCGACGGCUGGUGAGUCCGGAGGGUGAGUCAGAACUUCCCAGCAGAGCUGUAGCAGGUUUUGUCUGGCCGUCACAGAAGCCUGCGCUCUUGGUUACCCUGAGAGGAGAUUAUGCAUCUUCUGUUGGCCAUCUCUGGAGGUUUUUCGUCAAGUGCUGCUUUCAGUUGGUCUAAUUGGGAUUGGUGCUUGUUUGAAUUAUUGCUUGGUUUUCUGGAAGGCCCUCAUAACAGAGGACUCCCUUCCAAUCCCACCACAUGCAGAACACCACCUUCUUGGAUGGAGAUCGGCCUUGGUGUGUUCAGUGAUGGUCCAGCUCAGCGGCCCCACGAGCACUUCUGCUCCACGAUGUCGCACAGUAUCGCCCAUCACCCCCUAAGAAUGGAGCAUUGUCAUUGUGUGUGGAGCAGAGAAUCACGUGUAGAAAUAUGGUCAGGAAGGCUUUGCUUACCUUGUGUGGAACCCAGACGUCAGUGUGAGAAUGUCACCCAGCUGGUGCAGGUGGUUUUCAGUGUUUGGUGUGGAUCUUUUGAGGUUGGCGCUGCCGCCUGUGUGGCGCGAUGUGCAUUGUUCUCUAUUACCAUCUUGACUGGACUGCUACCAGCUGCAGCUGCUCUGUACAGCGUGGAGCACUGCCCAGCGAGAAGCCUCCAGCACGAACUUCGCAAACCGCCUCUGACACGUUCCGUCGGUCAGAGUGCCGCCCACACACACUGCACAGAUCAGUUUUUGCCUCCACUUUUACCUUUCAUGAAGUAACGAAGCCUAGUACGCCAGAAACGUUGCUUUUUCUCUUCCAGCUUUGGUAUUAAAAUAGUUACACAAAAAUGCACAAAUUUUGAUUUUUUGUAAUGCACGCUGGUAUGACAGCUGUCCCACUACAACCUAUCAAAGUUGCUUCAACUGAAAUUAGAGGCAACUAAGCCCUGCUAAAGCCGUCUUACAGGGAAAAACAAAUGACCAUUCUGGCCACCCAGUGUGUCUGACUGUGCGGUUUAGGGUGUUGCGUCUGACUGUGGUUUAGGGUGUUGCGUCUGACUGUGGUUUAGGGUGUUGCGUCUGACUGCACGGUUUAGGGUGUUACGUCUGACUGUGCAAUUCAGGGUGUGUCUGAUUGUGCGGUUUAGAGUGUGAUGUUUGAGACAGCUUUUUAAAGUGGCAUAAAAGUUACUGUUCUUACUGUCCAAAAUAUCAGAAAGUACAGACAAGUAUGAAAAACGAAAGGACAUUCAUAAUCACACCAUUUUUAACAUUUCUUGAUAUAUUAAAAAAAUGGAAG